rnacentral:rRNA from 1 species
CCUAGCAAUAGGUAUGCUUAGGGAGGAGCUUGCGUCACAUUAGUUAGUUGGUGGGGUAAAGGCCUACCAAGACUAUGAUGUGUAGCCGGGCUGAGAGGUUGAACGGCCACAUUGGGACUGAGACACGGCCCAAACUCCUACGGGAGGCAGCAGUAGGGAAUUUUCGGCAAUGGAGGAAACUCUGACCGAGCAACGCCGCGUGAACGAUGAAGUAUUUCGGUACGUAAAGUUCUUUUAUUAGGGAAGAAUAAAUGAUGGAAAAAUCAUUCUGACGGUACCUAAUGAAUAAGCCCCGGCUAACUAUGUGCCAGCAGCCGCGGUAAUACAUAGGGGGCAAGCGUUAUCCGGAAUUAUUGGGCGUAAAGGGUGCGUAGGCGGUUAAAUAAGUUUAUGGUCUAAGUGCAAUGCUCAACAUUGUGAUGCUAUAAAAACUGUUUAGCUAGAGUAAGAUAGAGGCAAGUGGAAUUCCAUGUGUAGUGGUAAAAUGCGUAAAUAUAUGGAGGAACACCAGUAGCGAAGGCGGCUUGCUGGGUCUUUACUGACGCUGAGGCACGAAAGCGUGGGGAGCAAACAGGAUUAGAUACCCUGGUAGUCCACGCCGUAAACGAUGAGUACUAAACGUUGGGUAAAACCAGUGUUGAAGUUAACACAUUAAGUACUCCGCCUGAGUAGUACGUACGCAAGUAUGAAACUUAAAGGAAUUGACGGGACUCCGCACAAGCGGUGGAUCAUGUUGUUUAAUUCGAAGGUACCCGAAAAACCUCACCAGGUCUUGACAUGCUUCUGCAAAGCUGUAGAAACACAGUGGAGGUUAUCAGUUGCACAGGUGGUGCAUGGUUGUCGUCAGCUCGUGUCGUGAGAUGUUGGGUUAAGUCCCGCAACGAGCGCAACCCUUAUUGUUAGUUACCAGCACGUAAUGGUGGGGACUUUAGCAAGACUGCCAGUGAUAAAUUGGAGGAAGGUGGGGACGACGUCAAAUCAUCAUGCCCCUUAUGACCUGGGCUACAAACGUGAUACAAUGGCUGUUACAAAGGGUAGCUGAAGCGCAAGUUUUUGGCGAAUCUCAAAAAAACAGUCUCAGUUCGGAUUGAAGUCUGCAACUCGACUUCAUGAAGUUGGAAU